rnacentral:rRNA from 1 species
AUACCGCGUGUGUGAAGAAGGCCUUCGGGUUGUAAAGCACUUUAAGCAGGGAGAAAAAGUUAUAAGUUAAUACCUUAUAACCCUGAUGUUACCUGCAGAAUAAGCACCGGCUAAUUCCGUGCCAGCAGCCACGGUAAUACGGAAGGUGCAAGCGUUAAUCGGAAUUACUGGGCGUAAAGCGCGCGUAGGUGGUUUGUUAAGUUGGAUGUGAAAGCCCUGGGCUCAACCUAGGAACUGCAUCCAAAACUAACUCACUAGAGUACGAUAGAGGGAGGUAGAAUUCAUAKUGUAGCGGUGGAAUGCGUAGAUAUUAUGAAGAAUACUCAGUGGCGAAGGCGGCCUCCCUGGAUCUGUACUGACACUGAGGUGCGAAAGCGUGGGUAGCGAACAGGAUUAGAUACCCUGGUAGUCCACGCCGUAAACGAUGACAACUAGCUGUUGGGAGACUAUGUCUUUCAGUGGCGCAGCUAACGCUUUAAGUUGUCCGCCUGGGGAGUACGGCCGCAAGGCUAAAACUCAAAUGAAUUGACGGGGACCCGCACAAGCGGUGGAGCAUGUGGUUUAAUUCGAUGCAACGCGAAAAACCUUACCUACUCUUGACAUACUUGGAGGCUCUUGUAAUGAGAGCGUGCCUUUUGGAACCAAGAUACAGGUGCUGCAUGGCUGUCGUCAGCUCGUGUCGUGAGAUGUUCCGUUAAGUCGGAUAACGAGCGCAACCCUUACCCUUAUUUGCCAGCGAUUCGGUCGGGAACUAUAAGGGGACUGCCGGUGAUAAACCGGAGGAAGGUGAGGACGACGUCAAGUCAUCAUGGCCCUUACGUAUAGGGCUACACACGUGCUACAAUGGAGAAUACAGACGGACGCUAAGCCGCGAGGUGGUGCUAAUCCUAGAAAAUUCUUCGUAGUCCGGAUUGGAGUCUGCAACUCGACUCCAUGAAGUCGGAAUCGCUAGUAAU